AGCACGAACUCGUGCGUACGAGAAGCGCGGGGAGCCGGAGUGCGUCACAGAAGGCGGGAAAAAGUGCGAAAAAAACUCCGACGAAAAGCAUUUGACCUAGCAAAAUCAUAUUAAAAUGCAGUAACAUUUUAAGGCAGAUCUUGGAAUAAAAUAUUCCAAACUGUGAUCCAAAUUUAUAACUGGUUAUGGUAAUUUGAUAUGUUUACUUACCGGUCAAAUUUAAUGCUGUUAAAUAUUGAGUAUUACUGAAAUAACCUUUGUGUUGGUGAUGCUCAGAUUAGAGGAUGACCGUUUCUUGGUUGUGUUCCAGAUGAACAUCAUUUUUGUAGGCUGGUCCAACUUGCACUUCAGGGACUCAAGAUCACCGAAGCUCGUUCCUCUUCCUCCGCCAUGCUGUCCGCCUGACUGGUGGCGACAACUUCGCUCCCUGACCCUCGUCGCUGGCCUGCUGGCCGGGUGGAGAGAAUUGGAGAAUUUAUUGGCGCUGACACACCUUGGAAUGACAG